rnacentral:rRNA from 1 species
AACCCAACAUCUUUAAUAGGAUGUUACGAUUGUGUGAAUACAUAGCACAUUAGAGGUAGACGCAGAGAACUGAAACAUCUAAGUACCUGCAGGAAGAGAAAGAAAAUUCGAUUCCCUGAGUAGAGGCGAGCGAAACGGGAAAAGCCCAAACCAGCAAGCUUGCUUGUUGGGGUUGUAGGACUCCAAUAUUGUAGUUCUUUCAGAUAGUCGAAUGACUUGGAUAAGUCAGUCAAAGAGGGUAA